UCUCGGCCAGUAUAUCACUCCGCUGCAAAUGGAGAGAGAGAAAUAAACUUUAUUGCUAGACCAGGCUUCUUGAGCCCAAAGGUGGGUGGCCUCCUCAGUCCAGGUAGCCAUGGCUCACUGCCGCCGCUCGAGCCCUGUUCACCAACCAUAGCUGGUUUUCAGGGUCUUGCGUCACCAGCAGAGCCUCCCACUGGUCUUCCGAUUCUUCCGCUGAAUCCGCUUCUUCCUGCAUGUUAUCGCCUGGUGGUGAUGAUGAUGGUGGUACUUCUCGGUUAUUCCUGCACCCCAGCACCAUAUGGCGCAAGGUGUUGGGCGUGUCCGGCGGGCAGAACUUCCAGUCUCUCCAGAUGGUGAGCCAGCGUAGCUAGG
rnacentral:lncRNA from 1 species